UACGUAGGGUGCGAGCGUUGUCCGGAAUUAUUGGGCGUAAAGAGCUUGUAGGCGGUCUGUCGCGUCUGCUGUGAAAAUCCGGGGCUCAACCCCGGACUUGCAGUGGGUACGGGCAGACUAGAGUGUGGUAGGGGAGACUGGAAUUUCCGGUGUAGCGGUGAAAUGCGUAGAUAUCGAGAGGAACACCUGCGGCGAAGGCGGGUUGCUGGGCUGACACUGACGCUGAUGCGCGAAAGCCAGGGGAGCGAACGGG
rnacentral:rRNA from 1 species